CCUACUUAUUAUCGGAUUAACCCCUCGUUUCAUGUGUCUCUCCUCAGGCCGGUGGUGGCUGGUCCCCUUCAAGAAGGUGAGGUGCCUGAGGUCCCUUCGCCCCCUCUGGACAUUGAGUCAAUGGACAUAGCGAGUCAUAAUCUCAAGAUUUGGCUUUCUUUACUUGGCUACAGGGGUAGCGAGCAAAACACCAGCGUUCAGCGACCAGCUUGAGCGGUGGUACGCUGAAGUAAGAGCACUGGCUUUUGGAAAAAUCUGCGGACUACCGGGCGAGCAAAGAGAGAGAGACAGCCUACCGCUGUGUCGGUCGAGCAGAGAGCGGGAUCUCCGGCGGCUGAAGUGUGGUUCUUGAAUCGGCCAGAUACUGUUCCAUCCUCUUUUCUGCCAAUCAAGCAAAGAUGAGGACAACACCCAAACUGGCACGUAAGUAGCAUUACAGUCAAGAGUGGUUCGGGGACAGUGAAAAGCAGGCUGCGCCUAUAUGCAGUGCACUGCAGUGUGAUAGAGUAUCGCGUUA
rnacentral:lncRNA from 1 species